GGUACCUUGGCCGAGUGGUCGAAGGCGCCAGACUUAAGCUCUGAUACUCGAAAGAGUUCGUGGGUUCGAAUCCCUCAGGUACCA
rnacentral:tRNA from 1 species